GGGAUUGCCCUAGUAACGGCGAGUGAAGCGGCAACAGCUCAAAUUUGAAAUCUGGCGCAAGCCCGAGUUGUAAUUUGUAGAGGAUGCUUCUGGGUAGCGACCGAUCUAAGUUCCUUGGAACAGGACGUCAUAGAGGGUGAGAAUCCCGUAUGUGACCGGCCCGCACCCUUUACGUAGCUCCUUCGACGAGUCGAGUUGUUUGGGAAUGCAGCUCUAAAUGGGAGGUAAAUUUCUUCUAAAGCUAAAUACCGGCCAGAGACCGAUAGCGCACAAGUAGAGUGAUCGAAAGAUGAAAAGUACUUUGGAAAGAGAGUUAAAAAGCACGUGAAAUUGUUGAAAGGGAAGCGCCUGCAACCAGACUUCGUGGCAGUGUUCCGCCGGUCUUCUGACCGGUUUAUUCUCUGUCGCGAGGCCAUCAUCGUCUAGGCCCGCCGGAUAAGACCUUAGGAAUGUAGCUCACCUUCGGGGGAGUGUUAUAGCCUAUGGUGAUGCGGCGAGGCUUGGGCGAGGUCCGCGCUUCGGCAAGGAUGAUGGCGUAAUGGUUGUCGGCGGCCCGUCUUGAAACACGGACCAAGGAGUCUAACAUCUAUGCGAGUGUUCGGGUGUCAAACCCCUACGCGUAAUGAAAGUGAACGGAGGUGGGAACCGCAAGGUGCACCAUCGACCGAUCCUGAUGUCCUCGGAUGGAUUUGAGUAAGAGCAUAGCUGUUGGGACCCGAAAGAUGGUGAACUAUGCCUGAAUAGGGUGAAGCCAGAGGAAACUCUGGUGGAGGCUCGCAGCGGUUCUGACGUGCAAAUCGAUCGUCAAAUUUGGGUAUAGGGGCG
rnacentral:rRNA from 4 species